AUUGAACGCUGGCGGCAGGCCUAACACAUGCAAGUCGAACGGUAACAGGAAGAAGCUUGCUUCUUUGCUGACGAGUGGCGGACGGGUGAGUAAUGUCUGGGAAACUGCCUGAUGGAGGGGGAUAACUACUGGAAACGGUAGCUAAUACCGCAUAACGUCGCAAGACCAAAGAGGGGGACCUUCGGGCCUCUUGCCAUCGGAUGUGCCCAGAUGGGAUUAGCUAGUAGGUGGGGUAACGGCUCACCUAGGCGACGAUCCCUAGCUGGUCUGAGAGGAUGACCAGCGACACUGGAACUGAGACACGGUCCAGACGCCUACGGGAGGCAGCAGUGGGGAAUAGUGCACAAUGGGCGCAAGCCUGAUGCAGCCAUGCCGCGUGUAUGAAGAAGGCCUUCGGGUUGUAAAGUACUUUCAGCGGGGAGGAAGGGAGUAAAGUUAAUACCUUUGCUCAUUGACGUUACCCGCAGAAGAAGCACCGGCUAACUCCGUG
rnacentral:rRNA from 1 species